rnacentral:hammerhead_ribozyme from 1 species
AUCCAGCUGACGAGUUCCAAAAAGGACGAAACGCGCGUCCUGGAU